CUUCCUUCUAAUUCAGAGAAUUAAUCACGUUCAACAAUAGUGUUGGAUGGUUGAUGAUAUUAAAAUAAAAACAAUUGGGUUUUACCCAAUCAAUAUUUCUUGGAAUUUGAUUAUUCUAAUUCUACAUUUUCAUAAUGUAAUAAAAACAGUGUUUAGAAGUCGUGGUAUAAAUAUUGGCUACUCCAUGAGUUUCAGUAUCAUUCAACAAAAUGAAAUUGUACGCUUACUUUGGUUUAGUAUUGGCUUUGAUAGCCUUAGCUAUGGGUAAUCCUAAUCCUGAACCUCAACCAAAUCCUUUGCCAUUAGGAGGUGGUGGCGGCGGAGGCGGCGGUGGUGGUGGCAAGUAAUUCUACCACAUCUGUAAUCCCGAUGAUAUUUUCCAUGUAUUAAAUAAAAUAAUAAAUGCUAUUAAAAUAUA